rnacentral:rRNA from 1 species
UACGGGGGGAGCAAGCGUUGUUCGGAUUUACUGGGCGUAAAGGGCGCGUAGGCGGCGCGACAAGUCACUUGUGAAAUCUCCGGGCUUAACCCGGAGCGGCCAAGUGAUACUGUAGUGCUAGAGUGCGGAAGGGGCUACUGGAAUUCUCGGUGUAGCGGUGAAAUGCGUAGAUAUCGAGAUGAACACCUGCGGCGAAGGCGGGUAGCUGGGCCGACACUGACGCUGAGGCGCGAAAGCCAGGGGAGCGAACGGG